rnacentral:tRNA from 1 species
GCCGCAUUCGACUACUGGCUAGGUCGGCUGUCUUUCUAACAGCAGGAGGGAGAUCGAAACUCCCAUGCGGUAC